ACGGCCAUACCAUGCUGAAUAUACCGGUUCUCGUUCAAUCAACCGAAACUCGUACCGGUUCUCAAUCACCGAAGUCAAGCAUCAUUGGGCGCUGCCAGUACUUGCGUGGUUGACCACCUGGUAACACCGCGUGCC